CGGGGUGCUAGGGUCAGUCUGUCACAUCUGGAGUAUUUCUCUUGUCUUUUCUGGUGUCCUGUGUGAAUUUAAAUAUGCUCUGUCUAAUUCUCUCUUUCUCUUUCUUUCUUUCUCUCUCUAGGACCAUGCCUCAGGACUACCUGGCUUGAUGACUCCUUGCUGUCCCCAGUUUACCUGGCCGUGCUGCUGCUCCAGUUCCAAUUGUUCUGCCUGCAGCUAUGGAACCCUGACCUGUUCACCGGACAUACUACCUGUCCCAGACCUGUUGUCCCAGACCUGCUGGAACGCUGACCUAUUCACCGGACGUGCUACCUGUCACAGACCUGCUGUUUUCAACUCUCUAGAGACAGCAGGAGCGGUAGAGAUACUCUCAAAGAUCGGCUAUGAAAAAGCCAACUGACACUUACUCUUGUGUUACUGACUUGUUGCACCCUCGACAACUACUAUGAUUAUUAUUAUUUGACAAUGCUGGUCAUUUAUGAACAUUUGAACAUCUUGGCCAUGUGCUGUUAUAAUCUCCACCCGGCACAGCCAGAAGAGGACUGGCCACCCCUCAUAGCCUGGUUCCUCUCUAGGUUUCUUCCUAGGUUUUGGCAUUUCUAGGGAGUUUUUCCUAGCCACCGUGCUUCUACACCUGCAUUGCUUGCUGUUUGGGGUUUUAGGCUGGGUUUCUGUACAGCACUUUGAGAUAUCAGCUGAUGUAAGAAACGCUUUAUAAAUACAUUUGAUUUGAUUUGACUUCUUCCGGGAACGUCGCAAUUACAACUGAAAACGAUGGUGACAAGUUUGGAUGCGACAACAGUUAAAAAGGACUGGAGACCACAGCAGCGAUUCUGCUCUUGCCCUACCUCUUCAAUGAGGACCCGAGUGGCCUUUAUGUCCGUGACAAGAUUUCACCGCUCUUCACUCCUUUAC
rnacentral:lncRNA from 1 species